AUUUGUGCGAUGAUGAAGCAAUAUUGUGGACUAGAGUUUCUGAUGUUGGGCUCUUCUUCCCAUUUCCUUUGACGACAAACCCUUGGCUGUCUGAGCACCAAUUAUUAAUCGUUAUUUUUCUCCAAGUUUUCUUAAUUUUUGGAAAAUAUUUUCACUCAAAUUUUAUUAUUUUGUGAAUUAGGUUAAGAGCUAAUGAUGAGAAACAUAAAUAUCUUAGCGGAUUUCAGUGAGAUUUUUAAUCAAUGAUCUGAUUGUUACACACACUGAAGCUCUUAAUAAUUUUUUAAAUUAAAUGGGAUGUAAAUAGUAAUAAUAGCAGUGAUGAGGUUAAACACAUGAGGUUAAACACAUGAGGAUGUGUUUAGGGAAGUGGACAAGACGAUUAAAACCGUUUUGCCGUGAUCCCCAAUUUAAACGACUUCUCCUUCCACUGAGCUUUCUUUUUAUUUUCAUUCCAACUCUUAUUCAAAAUUACAUUUUUUGUGUAAUUUGUUUUACAUAUAUAUGUAUAUAUUUGAAGAGAUAUUUUGCGUCCAUUUACCAUUACCAAUUCUGGAGGAUAAGUUGGUUCCUCACGGUGUAAUGGCUCGGACGCCAAAUUAACAAUUGUGGCCAUCCUGAUCAAUGGCUUCUCAAUACCAUUGCAUCCUGGAAACACCUCAUACAUUU
rnacentral:lncRNA from 1 species